GCAAUACAUAGCAAUACAUGUAGUAAAAUUGGAACGAUACAGAAACGAUUAGUAUGGCCCCGGCGCAAGGAUGACACGCAAAUUCGUGAAGCAUUCCUUGUGUUU
rfam:Octopus bimaculoides Scaffold19481_contig_88, whole genome shotgun sequence.